AGAGUUUGAUCCUGGCUCAGGACGAACGCUGGCGGCGUGCUUAACACAUGCAAGUCACGGGGGGUAGCAAUACCAACCGGCGAACGGGUGCGUAACACGUGAGCGACCUGCCUCCCCGCGGGGGAUAGCCGGCCCAACGGCCGGGUAAUACCGCAUACGCUUCUUCCGGGGCAUCCCGGGGGAAGGAAACCUCCGGGGCGGGGAGAGGGGCUCGCGGCCUAUCAGCUAGUUGGCGGGGUGACGGCCCACCAAGGCGGCGACGGGUAGCUGGUCUGAGAGGAUGGCCAGCCACAUUGGGACUGAGAGACGGCCCAGACUCCUACGGGAGGCAGCAGUGGGGAAUCUUGCGCAAUGGCCGCAAGGCUGACGCAGCGACGCCGCGUGGGGGAGGAAGGGCUUCGGCUCGUAAACCCCUGUUGCCCGGGGCGAACAUCCCGUUUCGACGGGACUGACGGUACCGGGUGAGGAAGCACCGGCUAACUCCGUGCCAGCAGCCGCGGUAAUACGGAGGGUGCGAGCGUUGUCCGGAAUCACUGGGCGUAAAGGGCGCGUAGGUGGCCCGUCAAGCGCGCGGUGAGAGCCCGGGGCUCAACCCCGGGUCGGCCGUGCGGACUGGCGGGCUCGAGCACUGUAGGGGCGGGUGGAAUUCCGGGUGUAGCGGUGGAAUGCAGAGAUCCGGAAGAACACCGGUGGCGAAGGCGGCGCUGGGCAGGAAGACGGGCGCAAGUCCGUCGGCUGACACUGAGGCGCGACAGCGUGGGGAGCAAACAGGAUUAGAUACCCUAGUAGUCC
rnacentral:rRNA from 1 species